rnacentral:rRNA from 1 species
GACGAACGCUGGCGGCGUGCCUAACACAUGCAAGUCGAGCGAGUGGAGUUCUUCGGAACAAAGCUAGCGGCGGACGGGUGAGUAACACGUGGGCAACCUGCCUCAUAGAGGGGAAUAGCCUCCCGAAAGGGAGAUUAAUACCGCAUAAGAUUGUAGCUUCGCAUGAAGUAGCAAUUAAAGGAGCAAUUCGCUAUGAGAUGGGCCGCGGCGCAUUAGCUAGUUGGUGAGGUAACGGCUCACCAAGGCGACGAUGCGUAGCCGACCUGAGAGGGUGAUCGGCCACAUUGGGACUGAGACACGGCCCAGACUCCUACGGGAGGCAGCAGUGGGGAAUAUUGCACAAUGGGGGAAACCCUGAUGCAGCAACGCCGCGUGAGUGAUGACGGCCUUCGGGUUGUAAAGCUCUGUCUUCAGGGACGAUAAUGACGGUACCUGAGGAGGAAGCCACGGCUAACUACGUGCCAGCAGCCGCGGUAAUAC